rnacentral:lncRNA from 1 species
GUGCACCAGAGAAACAAGAAAUGUGCUGACAAAAUUCCCAAACGCGAUCGCCGUCCAAAACAAUGCACUGCCUGUGCUCUUCAUGCUUUCUGGUGCUUGGUCAUAGAAAAACUCAAGGUGUCCUAUGGACAUGAAAGCUUCCGCAAUCCCAUGAAGGCUAUACUGCGGCACCAGCCAGAGAACCGAAAUGGGGAUGGUGGACUUAGGGCUAUUGACGAGCCCAUAAGCCGAGGCUGCCUGUUUCCGCUUCACUUCCACGAACCCGGCGACUAGAGUGGCUACGAUAGAGAUUACGAACCCAAUCCACAUCCUCUGCAGGAAGGUGAUGCCCCGGUCAAGGCCGGUGAACCGGCGGGCUACACGAAUGAGUAACCGGUCGUAGAGUGCAAUUGUUAUGAGCAUGGAGGACAUGGAGAAGACAGUCAUGGAGCCAGGAGGAAUUUGGAAGGAAUUUAUGAGGCGUCUGUCCAUGGUACGGGCUUGUUGGAGGGAGAAAGUGCCCUGUUGAGCAUAGGCUGUGAUGAGGAGGAUUCCGGAUGCCCAUAUAGGCCCCAUUCGGAUCACAGAUUUUAGUUCUUCAACUCUGUGAACGGUAUUCAAUCUCCAC